GUUUACAAUAAACUGACAGCCGAUAAACAGCCUUCCUAACACACGCACAGAGUCUUGGUACCGAAUGUUUUUCAAGGCAAAGCUGGGCUGUUCUUUUUACCGAUCCAUGCUAGUGAUCUUGACAUGUCUGUCUAUUUCAAGCCAACCUUGGGAGUAUAAAGGCUUGAAAAACUCACUCAGAAAUUGUAAUUCCACAAUGACGACUGUUUUGGGGAACUUCACAAACGG